rnacentral:misc_RNA from 1 species
GAUGAAGAACGCAGCGAAAUGCGAUAAGUAAUGUGAAUUGCAGAAUUCAGUGAAUCAUCGAAUCUUUGAACGCACCUUGCGCCCUUUGGCCAUUCCGAAGGGCAUGCCUGUUUGAGUAUCAUGAACACCUCAACUCUUCAUGGUUUUCCGUGAUGAGCUUGGACUUUGGGGGUCUUGCUGGCCUAUGGUCAGCUCCUCUAAAAUAAAUCAGCUUGCCAGUGUUUGGUGGGUAUCACAGGUGUGAUAACUAUCUACGCUUGUGGUUUUCCACCAGGUAACCUUCAGCAGUGGAGGUUCGCUGGAGCUCACAGAUGUGUCUCUCCUCAGUGAGGACAGCUCUUUGAAUGUUUGAUCUCAAAUCAGGCAGGACUACCCGCUGAACUUAAGCAUAUCAAUAAGCGGAGGA